GACCUUACGGAACUCGAGGAGAAAGCUGCAUUCAGAAAUCCAAAUGAAUUCUACUUUCAGAUGAUAAAAACAAGAACUGUGGAUGGAGUUCAUAAACCAGAAAAUCAAGCUAACAAAUACACU